rnacentral:lncRNA from 1 species
GGGGCCAUGAUGUAAGGACAUGCGGAGUUGGAAGUCUUAAAACCGGACGAGAUGAGCGUUGCUCUGAAAUGCUUCUCAUACCAAGAGGUAGGGUGUUGUGAGGGUUCCGAUUAAUACAGCUUUGAGGAAAUUUGUUCGCAAUGGCUGGUUUUCUUGAUCUUUUCACACAGCGCUCUGCUGAUUCAGAAAUGAGCCAUUCACACAAAGGGAUAAGACUUUCUGCAAGGAGUACCAAAGGAGACCUGGAAGCGUACAGUCUUCAGCAAAGACCAGCUGGGUGGUCUGAAGAGGGUCUUUGCGAUCACACCUUACCCAGAUUUCAAGAUGGAGUCGUUGGCAACACUCAUGGGAGUCCCCGAGUCCAGAAUCCAGGUGUCUACAGAUUCGGUUUAUUUUCAGCAAGUGUGUAAGUAAGUACUCUAUGAAUCGGAUGCAUGUCAAGCUGCAAUUUUCUGGUAUUACCUUCUUAGGUCUGGUUUCAAAACCAGCGUGCUUGCUACUUAAAAAGGGAAAAGCCUGCUCCUGUUCAACUACAGAGCUACACUUUCAGCUCAUCUGAUCCUUCUGGUGUGCCCUACAGCUUCUGGCCAGAGUGUCUGCUGCAGUGUGAGGUGCAUGUAACUGUGCUUCUGACAGUCUUGUAUUGCAGCCAGAGCUUGUGGAUGAGGUGUGGCAUGGCAGCAGUGGCUUCUGUCACUUGUAGAGUGCCUUACCUCCAUGCUACAUCCCCAGUUGCAAUGCUAACAGUGCUAGUCCUUACAUGCAGGUGAGUGUGGAUGACCAUGCUACCUGGGGAGAGCAACGGAGAGAUCCCAUUGCUGUGCACUGCAGCAUGACUGAGACUGUGCCAAAUAUGAGCAAGCCACUGCAGGCUCGACACCAGAGCUGCUGGGGAAGCUCACAAGCAGAGAUCUAUGAUGAUAUGGUAGAUCUAUUCCUCUAUAUCUAUGAAAAUUUUAAUUUAACAGAUAGUUCUCUGCUGUGGUGACAAUUACAUAGCUUACAAAUGAUUAUUUGAUUAGAAUUAAAUACACUAAUAUAAAUCUAUUUAAUAGCUGGUAUGUAAUGUUACGUGGCUUUUAAACUUCUAGCACUGCCACUUUCAAAGUGCAAAUGAAAUAGUAACACUUAAGCAUGCUUUGUUUGAGGUCUUCUACAAUAAGUAGAUCUAGUUCAUGUUCAUUAAAUAUCUUAGUUACAUGAGUAGCUGGUGAAUGUUUGUAGUAAUUGUGUAAUAAGACUGAAAAAGUUUGCAACUAUGAUCUUCCUGUCAGCUUUAGAAAACAACCCUUCAUGCCAAGGUAACUUAAGUGUAGGACAAGAUUUGAAAUUGCAGUAUUAUAGCCUCUUGGAUUAAAUGAUGUAGGUGUGUUUAAACCUGUGGCCUAGAAACAUUCCUCUUCACAGGUG